UACAGAGGUCCCGAGCGUUGUUCGGAUUUAUUGGGCGUAAAGGGUGCGUAGGUGGCAAAGUAAGUUGGAUGUGAAAUCCUGGGGCUCAACCUCAGAAUUGCAUUCAAUACUGCUUAGCUAGAGAGCUGUAGAGGAGACUGGAAUUUACGGUGUAGCAGUGAAAUUCGUAGAUAUUCGCAAGAACACCAGUGGCGAAGGCGGCUCACUGGCCCGGUACUGACGCUGAGGUGCGAAAGCGUGGGGAGCAAACAGG
rnacentral:rRNA from 1 species